rnacentral:rRNA from 1 species
AUUGAACGCUGGCGGCGUGCUUAACACAUGCAAGUCGAUCGGUAACAGGUGUAGCAAUACAUGCUGACGAGAGGCGGACGGGUGAGGAAUAUUUGGGAAUCUGCCCAUCAGCGGGGGACAACCCGGGGAAACUCGGGCUAAUACCGCAUACGCUCUACGGAGGAAAGCCGGGGACCGCAAGGCCUGGCACUGAUGGAUGAGCCCAAAACGGAUUAGCUAGUUGGCGGGGUAACGGCCCACCAAGGCGACGAUCCGUAGCUGGUCUGAGAGGACGAUCAGCCACACCGGAACUGAGACACGGUCCGGACUCCUACGGGAGGCAGCAGUGGGGAAUAUUGGACAAUGGGGGAAACCCUGAUCCAGCGACGCCGCGUGGGUGAAGAAGGCCUGCGGGUUGUAAAGCCCUUUCGGUAGGGAAGAAAUCUCUUGUCUUAACACGGCAAGGGUUUGACUUAACCUACAUAAGAAGCACCGGCUAACUCUGUGCCAGCCGCCGCCGUAAGAC